rnacentral:misc_RNA from 1 species
UGCAGGCUCCGUGCGUCUGGCAUCGAACUGCUUGGGCCUAUCUAUUUCAUUCAGUUGUUCGCCUCGGCGUUUUCACGGUCGGUUGCGAUCACUCGUUGGGUUCCUGUGCUUGAAAUCAAAUUCGGUAGUCGGAUGGAUUGAUGUUCCCCGUCGUGGUUUGAUUGAUCCCCCCCCCUCUUGUGGCGAUGGUGGAUAUUGUGCGGGCAUCGACGUUGUCCUUUCGAGUCGUUUUCCCCCGUUUGGGGAGCUUGGGCUCGUGGUGGCACGUAGAUGCUAGCGGCACUCUCGGGUACGGAGAUUCCCUGGCUUUAAUCGCAUCGGCCUUCGACCAUGCGAACGUAAUGUAUCGAAGCUUUCUUGCUUCCGAAUGUAUGACCCUCGUGCUCGUCUAAGAGCACACGGAGCGUCUUCGUUCGGUGUUCUUCUUGGGGAGAAAUCGAGGUCUACGAAGGAAUGCUACCUGG